UACGUAGGGUGCAAGCGUUGUCCGGAAUUAUUGGGCGUAAAGAGCUUGUAGGCGGUUUGUCGCGUCUGCUGUGAAAUUUCGGGGCUCAACCCCGAACUUGCAGUGGGUACGGGCAGACUAGAGUGUGGUAGGGGAGACUGGAAUUCCUGGUGUAGCGGUGAAAUGCGCAGAUAUCAGGAGGAACACCAAUGGCGAAGGCAGCUCGCUGGAACGGUACUGACGCUGAGGCGCGAAAGCCAGGGGAGCAAACGGG
rnacentral:rRNA from 1 species